GGCCCAAGUUAGCUCAGUUGGUUAGAGCGUCGUGCUAGAAUAACGCGAAGGUCGUGGGUUCGAUCCUCACGGGCCA